CUAGUAAUCGCGGAUCAGCAUGCCGCGGUGAAUACGUUCCCGGGGAUUGUACACACCGCCCGUCACACCAUGAGAGUCGGGAACACCCAAAGUCCGUAGUCUAACCGCAAGGAGGACGCGGCCUAAGGUGGGUUCGAUAAUUGGGGUGAAGUCGUAACAAGGUACC
rnacentral:rRNA from 1 species